rnacentral:lncRNA from 1 species
UUUUUUUUUUUUUUUUGGUUAGAGAGACGAACUCUCCUCUCUCAGAGUUUUCGGUACCUGCCUGGUUGCCAUGACUACCACCACAAAGUUGGAGAUUCAGGAGUGAGGGUUGCUGUAAGCAAAGUUGAGGAGACAAGAGAAGCUCGGGGAAUUCCCCCAACUUUUUCUGCUUCAUAGAGACUCUACUUCCCAUGCACAAAACCAAAAUAAAUAGAAUCAUAAUUUUAAAAAAGUGUAUCUUGGAGCUCUUCCUGUCUGUGCCUGGUACAUUAUCUAUUCUGGGAUAUUAUCCUCUAAGGCAAGGAGAUAUGGGUGGAAAAAGAGGAAAACAAGAAAACUCCCCACUGGAUUGCUUGUACUUUGGGUUCUGGAUUUCUUGCUCAAUCCCCCUGCUAUCAUUUACUUUUCAGAGUUCUCAAGUAGCUGCUUCAUGCAUUCUGUGAAGGGCUCUUGAUUUCAUUCAGUUGAGACAGAAUUCAGUUACUUUAUCUCCUUUGGAUCUGAAACUGUCACUUAAGUUGAAGUUACUUCAUCUUCAAAAUGAAUGUGAUUAAUACUUGCCCUUUCUAACUCACAACAUAUUUAUGGAAGUAAAAUAAAAUGGCAUAUUUGGAAGUAUCUCAUAAAUUGUGUGAUAGUGGUAAUAUAUUGACCUUUUAAUAUAUAUACACAUAGUUUGAAUAUAUUUUUUCCAUUUCAACUUUAUCAUUCUUGGCAAUUUCCCAAGUAGAAACUUCCAUGUUAUGUAACUGCCAUUAUGUUGUCCGAAAAGUUGGGAAACCCUACGAUAAACAAAGCUAAACAGAUUUACUUACUGCAAGACUUCUUGAAGUCUCUGAUAGGUUAAUGUGCAUUUUGAAUUCCCAAGAUAUAAUUGAACAGAUUUCAGAAUUUAUCUCUCAGCUGUUUUAUCUUCUAUUGGUCUCUUAAACAGAAAUAAAUGCAGAAUGAUUAUUUUGUAAGCAUUCUAGAAAAUUCUUCAUAUUUAACAUCAAUAAGAAUGUUGUAAGCUUUGGCAGAACCUUUACUCCCCCUUUAAGUCACCUUUCAAGCCUUGCUCAUAGAUAGAAAUAUGGCUAAAGAAAGAAAAGAUAUUUCGGAGGUAACACAGGGUUUUAAAGAAACACACAGAUGCAAAGCAAAAUAUUAUAUAUCUGCAUAUCUUCCUGAUGUUUCAUUCAAAUAAAUAUGUUCUGUGGCUUCAUUUUUCAAACCAUGGCUUAUUAGUGUGAUAGUAGUUAAGAGAUAUUCUUAAAAUUUGGUACUACAGUAAAAAUCCAGGCUGCACAUUUGUGCUACAGUAUAUUUCUUAUACUAGAGAUAAAACUUAUGUCUUUAGAAAAGUUUUAUCUAAAUCCUGAUAUAUUUGUACUUCCUACUUCUUUCAGUUAAAAAUAAUUUUUAGAAUUUAGAAACAUAACACAAUAAGUUUCACAAAUCUAACCUCACUUUCUUUGUUGGACUUCCAAUUAUUUCCUGUCUUUAAAAGUUAAAAUGGGAAACAUUUAAAAUGAUUUAUCUCUUCUAGAUAUUUGUGUAAAUAAGUUUAUACUAAGAAAAAGUGCAAGUAGAAUCUAUACUUCAUAGACAAGAAAAUGAAGACAAUAUAACUUUAGACAAUGAAUUUAACAUCUUGAAAAUUAAGUAUUGACAUUAUCUCAUAAAUCAGUUUAAAAUUUCACAUUCACCAAGUAAGACAAAUAAUUAUGGAAAAGAGUCACUGAAUUAUCAACAUGUUGAUCUAUAUGUAUGCUCUAAAAGGUGGUAAGCAAAGAGAGGAAUUUACAUUCACAAAAGUCCUGGACUUUGACCAAGAAUCAACUUAAAAAUAAUUAUUAUGAAUUUAAUCACAUUAUAAUCCAAUUGUAAUUGUGACCCUUAUUUGCAACUACUUCUUCCUGGAGAAACUUAUCAGCCCCUAAAUGCUUGUGGUCUUAUGCCACCCAGACAGUCCUAGGGUUUUCCAUUCAUGCAUUUUUGAGAGUACAGACUACCGUUUCUUGCAAAUUUACACAUUUUGGUUAAAUAAAGCAUAAAGAGUAGUAAUUCAAGCUUAACCACAGUAACAUGUCACAUUUGGGGUCAAGUCUGGAUAUAUCUAGCAUCUGACCAACAUCUGUCCUGUGUUAUUGAGAGAUCAACUGUACUUUCUGAAGAACAACGUUUUAUGGACAGUAUGUUAAGGCAUUGCGCAAACACUCCACGUUUUUUUCCCUAAUUUAAACAGUUUACAUAGUUCUUUUUUUUCUUUUAUUGUAAACGGGUUAAAACAUUUAUGAAAUACUGCAUUAGAAAAGGCUAAUAUUCUCCCUAUUUGUAAAGAAUAUUUUUAUUUCUAGAUAAUAAGUUGUGAUGUAUUAUUUGUCUCCUCAUCAAGUCAUCUAAAUGUCAAAGUUUAUGGGCAGAUGUAGGCCUCUGGCUGCCUGUAAGCCAUUUAAAUUUCUCACCUACUUCCACUAUUGAGGCUGAAAAGUGAAAAUAUUCCAUUUCCAGUCUUCCCUGGGCAAGACAUCGUAUCAGCCCUGAAUUUAAAGUCUAUAUUUUUGAAAAAUGGAAUUUUAAAAGAUUGUGGAGAUGUCCUAGAUUAUGUGCUAUGGAAAAAAAAGAGAAUAUGAUGUUUUUAAUUCUCAAGAUUAAAGCAAUCAAGAAAAAGUUGUAUUUUUUAGAUAAAAAAUAUAACAAAAAUUUUUACUAUAAAGCCACUUUUAUCUGUUUUUAAAAUCUAAUUCAGUUUUAGUUUGAAACUGUUGUUCAAAGGUAACACCUGUGAUAAGAGACACAAGCUGUUUCAGAAAGUGGCUGCAUCAGAAAGCAAGCUGUUAAGAGUUGCAGGUUGUUAAAUUCACUCUGCAGGGCAGUAGAUAAAAAGUGUUGUUGCACUUCAGCUUUAGUUUAUUUCAGAAGCUUCCUAAGAAAUCAGAUCUGAGGCUAUGGUAGCCUAGGCACUAAAAACAACAACAGCAACAACAACAACAAAAAACAAACAAACAAAAAACAAGAAAUCAAACAAAAAAAUACACAGCAAAACCUCAGGGAAAUCUCCACCUGGGGGAAGUUUACUUUGUUGGCUUUUUAUGCAGAGGGCCACUGAGUGAUCCUAAUCUGUUCUGUCAUUUUCUACCAAUUGGGAAGAAAGGGUAUGGGAGUUGAGAACUGGAAAUACUAAUGAAGAAGAAUUUCUGAUGUUUAGCAGAAGUAUGUGAUAUCUCUUGCAUCUUGGGGCUUCUUUGAAGCCUGGUAUUGCUGGCUUAUAUACCUGGACCUGUCAGAGUUUGAUUUUCUCACACAGCUAAAAUGUACAAAGUAUAAGCUCAUUAAAACAACAUAAUGGCUUAAUGAAAAUUUGCUGAGGUUUAUUAAAAUAAAUUGCUAACCAAGGCAAUGAU